CCUACGGGAGGCAGCAGUGAGGAAUAUUGGUCAAUGGACGAGAGUCUGAACCAGCCAAGUAGCGUGAAGGAUGACUGCCCUAUGGGUUGUAAACUUCUUUUAUAAAGGAAUAAAACGAGGCACGUGUGCCUUUUUGCAUGUACUUUAUGAAUAAGGAUCGGCUAACUCCGUACCAGCAGCCGCGGUAAUAUGGAGGAUCCGAGCGUUAUCCGGAUUUAUUGGGUUUAAAGGGAGCGUAGAUGGGUUGUUAAGUCAGUUGUGAAAGUUUGCGGCUCAACCGUAAAAUUGCAAUUGAUACUGGCAGUCUUGAGUACAGUUGAGGUAGGCGGAAUUCGUGGUGUAGCGGUGAAAUGCUUAGAUAUCACGAAGAACCCCGAUUGCGAAGGCAGCUUACUAAACUGUGACUGACAUUGAUGCUCGAAAGUGUGGGGAUCAAACAGGAUUAGAUACCCGUGUAGUC
rnacentral:rRNA from 1 species